AAUAGAUACCCGGGUAGUCCAUGCCGUAAACGUUGGGCGCUAGAUGUGGGGACCAUUCCACGGUUUCCGUGUCGCAGCUAACGCAUUAAGCGCCCCGCCUGGGGAGUACGGCCGCAAGGCUAAAACUCAAAGGAAUUGACGGGGGCCCGCACAAGCGGCGGAGCAUGCGGAUUAAUUCGAUGCAACGCGAAGAACCUUACCAAGGCUUGACAUAUACGAGAACGCUCUAGAAAUAGAGAACUCUUUGGACACUCGUAUACAGGUGGUGCAUGGUUGUCGUCAGCUCGUGUCGUGAGAUGUUGGGUUAAGUCCCGCAACGAGCGCAACCCUCGUUCUAUGUUGCCAGCGGUUCGGCCGGGAACUCAUAGGAGACUGCCGGGGUCAACUCGGAGGAAGGUGGGGAUGACGUCAAAUCAUCAUGCCCCUUAUGUCUUGGGCUUCACGCAUGCUACAAUGGCCGGUACAAAGGGCUGCAAUACCGUAAGGUGGAGCGAAUCCCAAAAAGCCGGUCUCAGUUCGGAUUGAGGU
rnacentral:rRNA from 1 species